rnacentral:lncRNA from 1 species
UUAAAUUUAUCAGUUAACCCCUUAAAAAAAUUGGAACCCCCCAAAACUUUUUGAGUCCCCCCUUUGAGAAAUUACCCCCACACUUGAUCCCUGCCUUUCCUUUGUAGUACGGAACCUUGUAGUUCAAUUUCAGAGAGAUCCAUACACUUAAACACAAGUUAUUAUCUGGAAACUAGAUAUAUGCUCAUUUUUGGCCCUUUUUGGUCCUUAAUUCCUGCAUGAAUUGGGCAAAAACCCUCAAACUAAAUCCCAGCCUUCCUUUUGUGAUAUUGAACCUUGUGGUACAAUGUCAGAUAGAUCCAUACUCUUACAAUACAUACAAGUUAUUGUCCAGAAACUACAAAAAUGCUUGUUUUUGUCCCCUUUUUGGUCCCUUAUUCCUUAACUGUUGGCACCAUAACCCCCAAAAUGAAUCCAAACCCUCUAAUUUUGGUAUUAACUGUUGUGGAACAAUUUCAGAGCAAUUGAAAUACUUAUACACAAGUUAUUAUCCUGAAAGUAGAAAAAUGCUUGUUUUGGGCCCCUAAUUCCUAAACCGUUCGUACCAUCAUCCCCAAAAUCAAUCCCAACCUUCCUUUUGUGGUAUUGAACCUUCUUAUAAAAUUUCAAAGAGAUCCAUUCACGUUAACCAAAGUUAUUGUCCGGAAACCAAUGUGUCUUCGGACGAUGCAGACGAUGCAGACGACAUCAUACCAUUAUAUGAUCCCAAAAAUAUUUUUGCGGUUGUAUAAAAAAAUCAAAAUU